rnacentral:lncRNA from 1 species
GGCUGGGCAAGCAGCCACGCAUACGUGUCACUCUACAUUGGCUGUUUAGCAUAAAUGGAAGGGAAAGUGCGUGAAGCAAGAAACACGACGCACGACGGGAACAUGCAUGUGCGUGUGGAAGGAGCUCGUAGUAACAUCCACCGUUACGACCCUUCCUUUUGGGUUUUGGUCGGUCCCAUGGUGCCCGAACAAGGGGCUGAAAAAAAAGAGGCGAGCGAGGGCCUUUGCUGCGAAAGAUGCGCACGACGACUGAGAUCAUCACUAGGGCUCAACAAGGAGGGGGGAAAAGUCCAUUGCAAAAUGCAAAAAAAGGAGAGAAAGCGUGAAACGAGCAAAGCAUCGUCUUGAGUUCAGGCGCCAUGUCAAAGAACGCUUUCUCCGUGUGAAGCGUUUAGAUCAUUCUACUUACAUACCUUAGUCAUGAACAUGGAGGAACCAAAGUAAACGGGAACUGAUUCUAGCAAGGGCAGCCCUAGGCGCCGGCACGGUUUUGGACCAAUCGAUGCCUAGCCGUUUCAUUUGGACGCAUUCAACCAUUGGAUUGGGACUUUCUUUCCCGUGUCUUCUUUUUCCUCACAUUCCCCACACUCACAUCUUCAUAGACGAGCAGAAUGACCGACCUCGAAGCAGCACCCCGUGCGCUUGUACGUCGCCACCGGUCGUCGUUCUCACCACCGGUCGCCGUCCUCGUCCGCAGUUGCACCUUCUUUGCUGGAUCCACGCAUGCAACAACUUUCGUCCGCGAUUGCAGCUUCCUUGUUGGCGGUGGCAGCUCCGGUAGGACGCCCACAACUCCGAUAACGCCGGUCGCCCGUCGCAGCACCCCGACCGCUGUCACGGGUCGCAGCUCAGUCGUGAUGGAUGUAGCAAAGCGUUAUGUCGGUUGUAGCAAAAUAAAACACCGGUUAUCGCAAAAAUCGUGACGCUAUGUGUGAUGUAGCAAAAUAUGACACCGUUGAUAGCAAAAUGUGGUGCCGAUUGUAGCAAAUUUCGAUGCCGGUUAAAGCAUGUAGCAAAUUACGACAUCGGGUAUGGACACAACUUCGCCGGCCAUGCCCGUUGUAGCUUCGCUCUCCAUGAAGAAGUUGAGACAAAGAGAGGGGUGCAACCCGCCAUGUCGUUGGUUGUAGCAACAUGAAACACCGGCUAUAGCAAAAAUCACGACGUCAUGUGCGAUGUAGCAAAAUGCGACACUAGUGAUAGCAAAAUACGGUGUCGGUUAUAGCAAAUAUCGAGUUCUUACUGUAAAAAACGAGAUGGAUCCCACGAAAACAGGAGGAAGAAGAAGCGGAGAAGAAAGGAAGAAAAAAGAUAACGAGCGUGAGUGCGAGUCAGUCUCCACAUGAAUGAAGGAAGCGAGUGAUAGCAAUAACGACCGACCGAACGUGUAGACGCGGAACCCACCAUGUCGUUGGUUGUAGCAACAUGAAACACUGGCUGUAGCAAAAAAUCACGACGCCAUGUGUCAGUGGCGGAGACAGCACCCGGCGAGCCGGGGCUGCUGCCCGGGCUCCCAUGGGGCAUGUGAAUGGAGCUCUAGUAGUGAAACAUGGUUUACUUCAUAGUUUUUUGGGCAAAAUCUAAUUAACUUGGCAUCAUGUAUAUCUUGCCCAGGCUAUAAAUUUGAGCUGGCUCCGCCACUGCCAUGUGUAAUGUAGUACAAUGGACAUUAGUGGUAGCAAAAUGCGAUGUCGGUUGUUGCAAAUUUCGAGUUCGUACUGCGAAAAAGGGAUGGAUCCCAUGGAGGCAGGAGGAAGAAGAAGCAGAGAAGAAAAGAAAAAAAAGAUAACAAGCGUGAGUGCAAGUCUGUCUCUGCAUGAAUGAAGGGAGCAAGUGAUAGCAAUAGCGACCGGCCGAACAUGUACUUCCUCCGUUCCAUAAUAUAAGUCUUUUUACUUUAGAAUGUAGAUUCACUUAUUUUGCUUUGUACGUAGUCCUUUAGGCCUCGUUUGGUUAAGGAGGAUUGGGGAGGUUUUGAGAGGAAAAUCCCCGGGGGGUCCAGAAACCCCACAGAUCCUCGGACGCCCAUUUGGUAGGAGGGGUUUGCUUUGCCCAAUCCCCCCGUUCCCCUUCAAUCCCUUCUUAUUCAUGUGUUUCAAAAACCCUCUUCGGAGGACUAGUGGAAGCAAAACCCCGGGGAUUUGAGAGGAUUGGGUGGAACAAAGGGAUUCACCCAAUCCUCUAAAAUCCCUCCCUCUUAAAACCUCCCCAAUCCCCCUUAACCAAACGAGGCCCUUAGUGAAAUCGAGUGAAUCACACUUGUCAGGCCGGGAAAUCACGAGACCGCGUGAAGGUUGUCACGCUUUCCGGAUGUUGGUAUGGUUUGGAACGAGCAAUGCUAGACUCACACGGGGAUUACGCGGUAGUUAAUAAUUGAUUGGCUGAGAUUAUGUUAAGUGAGUGCGCUUGUGUAAGUGGACGACAGUCCAUGAGCACCCGCUUUGGUCCGUCAUCGAAGAAGCAUUUUCUUCAUAGCAAG